rnacentral:rRNA from 1 species
AGAGUUUGAUCCUGGCUCAGGACGAACGCUGGCGGCGUGCCUAAUACAUGCAAGUCGAGCGGACCGGAUUGGGGCUUGCCUUGAUUCGGUCAGCGGCGGACGGGUGAGUAACACGUGGGCAACCUGCCCGCAAGACCGGGAUAACUCCGGGAAACCGGAGCUAAUACCGGAUAACACCGAAGACCGCAUGGUCUUCGGUUGAAAGGCGGCCUUUGGGCUGUCACUUGCGGAUGGGCCCGCGGCGCAUUAGCUAGUUGGUGAGGUAACGGCUCACCAAGGCGACGAUGCGCAGCCGGCCUGAGAGGGUGACCGGCCACACUGGGACUGAGACACGGCCCAGACUCCUACGGGAGGCAGCAGUAGGGAAUCUUCCGCAAUGGGCGAAAGCCUGACGGAGCGACGCCGCGUGAGCGAAGAAGGCCUUCGGGUCGUAAAGCUCUGUUGUGAGGGACGAAGGAGCGCCGUUCGAAGAGGGCGGCGCGGUGACGGUACCUCACGAGAAAGCCCCGGCUAACUACGUGCCAGCAGCCGCGGU